rnacentral:rRNA from 1 species
GGAUGAAAGCUCCGGCGGCGUAGGAUAGCUCUGCGGCCUAUCAGGUCGUAGCGAGGGUAACGUCCUCGCUAGCCUUCGACGGGUAUGGGUGUUGGGAGACAUCGCCCAGAGAUGGAUUCUGAGACACGAAUCCAGGUCCUACGGGACGCAGCAGGCGCGAAAACUGCACAAUGUGGGAAACCACGAUGCGGGAAACCCAAGUGCCAGCACUAUGUGUUGGCUGUCCUCGACUGUUUGUAGGUCGGGAAGAAAGAGCUGGGUAAGACGGGUGCCAGCCGCCGCGGUAAUACCCGCAGCUCAAGUGGUGGUCAUUAUUAUUGGGCUUAAAGCGUCCGUAGCUGGCCUGUUAGAUGCCUGGGUAAAUCGAUGCGCUCAACGCAUCGAAUUCCGGGUAGACCGGCAGGCUCGAGACCGGGAGAGGUGUAGGCUACUCGGGGGGUAGGGGUAAAAUCCUGUAAUCCUUCGGGGAGGACCAGUGGCGAAGGCGCUACACUAGAACGGCUCUGACAGUGAGGGACGAAGCCCUGGGGCGCAAACCGGAUUAGAUACCCGGGUAGUCCAGGGUGUAAACGCUGCAGACUUGGUGUCGGUGAUCCUACGAGGGUUGCCGGUGCCGUAGAGAAAUUGUUUAGUCUGCCGCCUGGGGAGUACGGUC